UCAUACCAGGUUGCACCGGCCCCUUGCUG
rnacentral:piRNA from 1 species